rnacentral:rRNA from 1 species
AUUGAACGCUGGCGGCAUGCUUUACACAUGCAAGUCGAACGGCAGCGCGGGCUUCGGCCUGGUGGCGAGUGGCGAACGGGUGAGUAAUACAUCGGAACGUGCCCAGUAGUGGGGGAUAGCCCGGCGAAAGCCGGAUUAAUACCGCAUACGACCUGAGGGUGAAAGCGGGGGACCGAAAGGCCUCGCGCUAUUGGAGCGGCCGAUGUCGGAUUAGCUAGUUGGUGGGGUAAAGGCUUACCAAGGCGACGAUCCGUAGCUGGUCUGAGAGGACGACCAGCCACACUGGGACUGAGACACGGCCCAGACUCCUACGGGAGGCAGCAGUGGGGAAUUUUGGACAAUGGGGGCAACCCUGAUCCAGCCAUGCCGCGUGCGGGAAGAAGGCCUUCGGGUUGUAAACCGCUUUUGUUCGGGAAGAAAUCCUCUGGGCUAAUACCCCGGGGGGAUGACGGUACCGGAAGAAUAAGCACCGGCUAACUACGUG